CAGGAAAUCUCUAAGUGGUACUGAUUGAAACAAUUCUGGGUGACCCCCAGUCGUACGUGGAGGCCCACUAAGUGGCAAUAAGUGUACUACCGUACCUGACACCUGUUUGGUACCCCAUAGACCAAAAGAGUGUCCCAACAUUCAUACAGGGGUGACCCCCCUAUGCUGGGUGACCCCCAAGCGAGUAUUACUCCGGUGCUAGUGGC
rnacentral:lncRNA from 1 species